rnacentral:snoRNA from 1 species
GCUUGUAUAUGAUGAUUGAUAUUCUUACAUACAUUGUUUGAUUAUCAUUGAAAAGUAAAAAGUAUCUGAUACAGUU